GGGGUAAUAGCUCAGUUGGUUAGAGCAGGGGUCUUAUAUACCUCAGGUCCAUGGUUCAAGUCCAUGUUGCCCUACCA
rnacentral:tRNA from 1 species